ensembl:lncRNA
GUCUGUUCCUCCGAUUUCCAUCUCACUGGGAGUCGUAUACCUUUGAUUCCUGGAGAAGCGGCAAGUUGAUGACCCGCCACCACGUCCCUCUGCAACUUGUCGAGGCAAAGCCAUUUGUUUCUGCCACACGCUAACAAAGGUUCAUAGGAUCCUCAUGACUGGACAAAGCACUUGACUGUCAAACUCGGCUGUUUCCCAUCUAAGUCGGAGAGGAGACACAGGGCUGGAGAGAGACUAAUGUUAGAUGGCGUAGUAAAGACAACCUGAAGGACCUGAGAGCCAUCAUUCGCACUCGAGUGGCAGCAAGGUCAUCUGGCUAAGGGAUGGCUCAUCCUUUCCCUGCCUUUGAAUCACUGACGGGGCUGUCAUAAUAGUGAAAAAAAAUGCUGUAGGACCUUUGAAGAAUGAACUUUCCAAACCAAUGGAUUGCUCUGAAGGGCAACGCCAUCCAAGAUCAAACAUAAUCACCAACGGUAAAAUCAGUUGGCCUUUUCUCAGUUCAAGGUUUCUGCUUCAGGAGGUAAAACCGCGUGUAAGUUUUCAAGGAACUGGACUCCAGAAAACUUUUCUGUUCAGAAAAGUUUAAUCAAGCCAUUUUUGGACAGCUUACUAUUAAA